GACAGAGGGUGCAAACGUUGUUCGGAAUUACUGGGCGUAAAGCGCGUGUAGGCGGCUAUGCAAGUCGGAUGUGAAAGCCCUCGGCUCAACCGAGGAAGUGCACCCGAAACUGCAAAGCUAGAGUCUCGGAGAGGAUCGUGGAAUUCUCGGUGUAGAGGUGAAAUUCGUAGAUAUCGAGAGGAACACCCGUGGCGAAGGCGGCUCUCUGGGACGGUACUGACGCUGAGACGCGAAAGCGUGGGGAGCGAACAGG
rnacentral:rRNA from 1 species